rnacentral:rRNA from 1 species
CGCGUAGGCGGACUUUUAAGUCGGAGGUGAAAGCCCAGGGCUCAACCCUGGAAUUGCCUUCGAUACUGGGAGUCUUGAGUUCGGAAGAGGUUGGUGGAACUGCGAGUGUAGAGGUGAAAUUCGUAGAUAUUCGCAAGAACACCGGUGGCGAAGGCGGCCAACUGGUCCGAAACUGACGCUGAGGCGCGAAAGCGUGGGGAGCAAACAA